UACAGAGGUCCCAAGCGUUAUCCGGAGUUACUGGGCGUAAAGGGCGUGUAGGUGGUAGUGUAAGUCUGGCGUGAAAUUUUUCGGCUUAACCGGGAAAGGUCGUCGGAUACUGCACCACUAGAGGACGGUAGAGGCGUGUGGAAUUCCGGGUGUAGUGGUGAAAUGCGUAGAGAUCCGGAGGAACACCAGUGGCGAAGGCGACACGCUGGGCCGUACCUGACACUGGUGCGCGACAGCAUGGGGAGCAAACAGG
rnacentral:rRNA from 1 species